rnacentral:rRNA from 1 species
AAUCAACGCUGGCGGCGUGCCUAACACAUGCAAGUCGAACGAGAAAGUGGAGCAAUCCAUGAGUAAAGUGGCGACCGGGUGAGUAACACGUGACUAACCUACCUCCGAGUGGGGAAUAACUCCGGGAAACCGGGGCUAAUACCGCAUAACAUCGCAAGAUCAAAGCAGCAAUGCGCUUGGAGAGGGGGUCGCGGCUGAUUAGCUAGUUGGCGGGGUAACGGCCCACCAAGGCGAAGAUCGGUAUCCGGCCUGAGAGGGCGCACGGACACACUGGAACUGAAACACGGUCCAGACUCCUACGGGAGGCAGCAGUGGGGAAUUUUGCGCAAUGGGGGAAACCCUGACGCAGCAACGCCGCGUGGAGGAUGAAGCCCUUUGGGGCGUAAACUCCUUUCGACCAAGACGAUAAUGACGGUACUGGUGGAAGGAGCACCGGCUAACUCUGUGCCAGCCGCCGCUGUAACAC